UCUGCAACACAUCUCUUCCAGCUUCACCAGCCUUCUCCUUAUUUUGAUCUGGGAGAUCCAUACUGUCGCCAUCUGCGCGCAGAAUACAACAGCCUGCAUGACCCACAUCUGCAGGACUACCACAACCGCAAAGACAACCUGCAGAACCUGAAGAACAGGGGCCUUGUCACUGAGGAUGGCAAAGUUGUCUGCACUCUGAAAGAGUUCAACGAGUACAGGCAGUACCUGACCAGGCUGAAGCUGGAGCGGGAGAAAAUAAAGAGGCAAAAAGAGG